rnacentral:rRNA from 1 species
UACGAAGGGUGCAAGCGUUAAUCGGAAUUACUGGGCGUAAAGGGUGCGUAGGCGGUUGUUUAAGUCUGUCGUGAAAUCCCCGGGCUCAACCUGGGAAUGGCGAUGGAUACUGGGCAGCUAGAGUGUGUCAGAGGAUGGUGGAAUUCCCGGUGUAGCGGUGAAGUGCGUAGAGAUCGGGAGGAACAUCAGUGGCGAAGGCGGCCAUCUGGGACAACACUGACGCUGAAGAGCGAAAGCGUGGGGAGCGAACAGG